rnacentral:rRNA from 1 species
ACGCUCGACACCUACGGAGGCAGCAGUCGGGAAUAUUGCGCAAUGGAGGAAACUCUGACGCAGUGACGCCGCGUAUAGGAAGAAGGUUUUCGGAUUGUAAACUAUUGUCGUUAGGGAAGAAAAAGGACAGUACCUAAGGAGGAAGCUCCGGCUAACUACGUACCAGCAGCCGCGGUAAUCUGAGCGGGCUGGCAAGGC